AGCAGUGGGGAAUAUUGCACAAUGGGCGAAAGCCUGAUGCAGCGACGCCGCGUGAGGGAUGACGGCCUUCGGGUUGUAAACCUCUUUCAGCAGGGAAGAAGCGAAAGUGACGGUACCUGCAGAAGAAGCGCCGGCUAACUACGUGCCAGCAGCCGCGGUAAUACGUAGGGCGCAAGCGUUGUCCGGAAUUAUUGGGCGUAAAGAGCUCGUAGGCGGCUUGUCACGUCGGUUGUGAAAGCCCGGGGCUUAACCCCGGGUCUGCAGUCGAUACGGGCAGGCUAGAGUUCGGUAGGGGAGAUCGGAAUUCCUGGUGUAGCGGUGAAAUGCGCAGAUAUCAGGAGGAACACCGGUGGCGAAGGCGGAUCUCUGGGCCGAUACUGACGCUGAGGAGCGAAAGCGUGGGGAGCGAACAGGAUUAGAUACCCUGGUAGUCCACGCCGUAAACGGUGGGCACUAGGUGUGGGCAACAUUCCACGUUGUCCGUGCCGCAGCUAACGCAUUAAGUGCC
rnacentral:rRNA from 1 species